rnacentral:rRNA from 1 species
ACGCUGGCGGCAGGCCUAACACAUGCAAGUCGAGCGGUAGAGAGAAGCUUGCUUCUCUUGAGAGCGGCGGACGGGUGAGUAAUGCCUAGGAAUCUGCCUGGUAGUGGGGGAUAACGUUCGGAAACGGACGCUAAUACCGCAUACGUCCUACGGGAGAAGGCAGGGGACCUUCGGGCCUUGCGCUAUCAGAUGAGCCUAGGUCGGAUUAGCUAGUUGGUGGGGUAAUGGCUCACCAAGGCGACGAUCCGUAACUGGUCUGAGAGGAUGAUCAGUCACACUGGAACUGAGACACGGUCCAGACUCCUACGGGAGGCGGCAGUGGGGAAUAUUGGACAAUGGGCGAAAGCCUGAUCCAGCCAUGCCGCGUGUGUGAAGAAGGUCUUCGGAUUGUAAAGCACUUUAAGUUGGGAGGAAGGGCAGUAAAUUAAUACUUUGCUGUUUUGACGUUACCGACAGAAUAAGCACCGGCUAACUCUGUGCCAGCAGCCGCGGUAAUACAGAGGGUGCAAGCGUUAAUCGGAAUUACUGGGCGUAAAGCGCGCGUAGGUGGUUCGUUAAGUUGGAUGUGAAAUCCCCGGGCUCAACCUGGGAACUGCAUUCAAAACUGACGAGCUAGAGUAUGGUAGAGGGUGGUGGAAUUUCCUGUGUAGCGGUGAAAUGCGUAGAUAUAGGAGGGAACACCAGUGGCGAAGGCGACCACCUGGACUGAUACUGACACUGAGGUGCGAAAGCGUGGGGAGCAAAC